AAACAAAUGAAAAAAAAAAGAGAAAGGAUCAAAAAGUUAGCAAUAAUAAAUGCGAUUAAAAAAUUGCAUAAUCCAAGUUUUACAAGGUUACAAAUAUACAUCAUUCGAUUACGUUAACAAAAUAUUUUCUCUCUCUCUCUCUUUUUCGAAGAAAACGAAGAAGAAAGAAGAAAGAAAAAGAAAAGAAAUGAAAAGGACCGUUCUAAUGUUUUACAUUCAAUAAUCCGAAGGAUCGUAGCUCAAACUAAACUAGUCGAGGUCGGCUUGUGACCUUUCGAACGAUCAUUUUGAGUAAGGUAAAGAGGUUUCUAGGAACUACGGCAGCGAUGUAGAAUAGUCAUUGGAGAGUAAUUACGUCCGCACGGUCGGUCGGUCGUCCGUCCGUCCGUCCGUCCGUCCCUUCAUUUGUUCGUUCGAUCGUUCGGUCGGUCUCCGGCAGGUAAAGGUCGCCACUUUGGGUCCGAAGGUUACCUCCUCUUCCUCCUCCUACUCAUGGACACAAACGCACGUAGCGACAUCCUCUAUUCUAUACUAUAAGUAUUAUAUUUCUAUUUCUUUUUUUCUCCUUCGUAAAUUAUCUCUAUCGCUUUCUCUUUUUUUUUUCUCUCUCUCUCUCUCUCUCUCUCUUUCUCUCUUUCUCUUUCCAAAUUUAUUCUUUUAACUUAUAUCUGUCUCUAUCAUCAACGCGUAAGAAUUCCUUCAAAACGCGAACGAAUAUAUCUAAACGACUAUGUUAAUCCUAAUGUUCCUUCGUAGGAUUAAAAAUUUCCUAGGAAACUCGCGCAGUGUACCGUUUUAGCGUUUCAGACCGCUCUCAUUGAGUUCGAUCCAAGAAUGGAUCAGCUGGGUAAUCGCGGACGCGAUGCGCGCACCGUACACAAAUACAUAUAGACGCUAGACACGACAGAGGAUUAUUUUCUCAAGGACGCAUUGAAAGUCGAUAGAACAAACUAGAAAAAAAUGGCAUGGAGACGAAUCGUCGAACGAAUCGGUUAAUCGAGAAAAGGGCGUGCACGCAGAUUGAUACUCGCGACGUAGACGAUACACCAUAGAUUUAACUCGUAUCCGGCUAGUCAGAGAACAGGUCGAAGAAUAAUCGAGCACAUCGGAUGGAGAAACGAAAGGCCAAUUCGUUUUAGAAACACUCACCUUUAUCGCCAACAGCGAUGACCGAUCUGACCACGCGUCAUUUGGACAGUUCAUAGCAGCUACCACACUUCGUCGACCAUCCGUGGGUUAGAGUUCAUAACCUCUUCUACCCUUUGCUUUACCUUUUCUUUGCCCCUCCCCACCCCCCUCUUUACCUCCUCCUUCUCCUCUUCCUCUUCCACCACCUUCUCCUCUUCCUCUUCGUCUUGCAUCUAACCCCACCACUCACCUUUUUACCCACUCGACAUUGCAUUCACCGGCAUCGAUACGCAACCGCAAUAGAGAUUGUCGACAUCUUUUCUGAACUGGGCUGGGUUCCGAUAUUCACAACGAUUCCUAUCGUCCCAUUCGAGCGACAACAAGCGGCAAACGCCUUAACAACUUUUUCUUUGUUAAUACGGUCGUAAGAAUGCCGCCAUUAUUGCGCGGCCAUCUUCGAAGCGCCAUUUUUAAGUCUCACCUUCUCAACGAUACGCACGAUUAUUCUUGCCUUUCUUACUCGAUUUAUUUGUUUGUUCGUUCAAUUGAAAUCACGAUCUCCUUGCAAUUUAACUCUUCGCGACUUUAACACAGAUUCUCAAUUGCCUCGAGAUAAAAUUAUGAUUUGUCCGAAUUGGGUUAGAUUACAUUUAAGAGACGCUUUUUAAACGAAUUUAGUUUUAAGUAGAUCUAUUGAAAUUUCGUCUGCUACAAAUGAUAUCUUUUUGACGGCGCAACGUUGGCUGACAACGUUUCGGUUGGAAAUUAUUUUUGGUCUCACAAUUCGUAUUUACGUAUCUUUUAAACAGUCUUUCGCUUUUCCCGGAUAUACGUACAUCGAAAUUCUCGAGCGCAAAAAGUUAAAAGAUCAAGCCUCUGAAUUCUCUUUAUAGAGUAAAUUUUUGGAUCUACAAAAUUUUAUUGCGUAUAUAUUUAUUACACUCGCAGAGAGUACACUCUAGGUGGUAUACAUAUAAUAGAAACGAUAUAAAGGAAAUUUCAUUAAUUAAAAUAAUAUUAAUAAUAAUAGUAAUAAUUAAACAAUUACUAUUUGUUAUAUAUUUAGUUGUAUAUGCACUGAAUAUAACUUUGUACGUGAAACUUCUGAUGGUGCAGGUUAAGUGUAUUUUUCUUUCUUUGUAUAAAAAAUUUCAAACUUCUUUGAAACUAUAAGAUAAAUUUUCGUACAAUAUCAAUUACUUUCGAAGAAAAAGAAAA